UUCCGGUUGAUCCUGCCGGACCCGACUGCUAUUUGGGUGAGAAUAAGCCAUGCGAGUUGAAUGGAAUACCUAAAUUUUCCAUGGCAAACUGCUCAGUAACACAUGAUCAACUUACCCUAUAGAGAAAAAUAACCUCGGGAAACUGAGGAUAAUGUUUCAUAGUUGAAAAGGCUUGGAAAAGUUUUUCAAUCAAAAGGAUAAAAAAAAUGGUUUUUAUCCGCUAUAGGAUAGGAUCGUGCUCGAUUAUGGUUGUUGGUGAGGUAAUGGCUCACCAAGCCGAUAAUCGAUAGGGGCCGUGAGAGCGGGAGCCCCGAGAUGGGUACUGAGACAACGACCCAGGCCUUACGAGGCGCAGCAGGCGCGGAACCUCCGCAAUACACGAAAGUGUGACGGGGUUACCCAAAGUGUUCAGUUUUGAACUGUGGUAGGUGAGUAAUGUCCCCUACUAGAAAGGAGAGGGCAAGGCUGGUGCCAGCCGCCGCGGUAAAACCAGCUCUUCAAGUGGUCGGGAUAAUUAUUGGGCUUAAAGUGUCCGUAGCCGGUUUAGUAAGUUCCUGGUAAAAUCGGGUAGCUUAACUAUCUGUAUGCUAGGAAUACUGCUAAACUAGAGGGCGGGAGAGGUCUGAGGUACUACAGGGGUAGGGGUGAAAUCUUAUAAUCCUUGUAGGACCACCAGUGGCGAAGGCGUCAGACUGGAAACGUGCCUGACGGUGAGGGACGAAAGCCAGGGGAGCGAACCGGAUUAGAUACCCGGGUAGUCCUGGCCGUAAACGAUGCAUACUAGUGAUGGCAUGGCCAUGAGCCGUGUCAGUGCCGUAGGGAAACCGUUAAGUAUGCCGCCUGGGAAGUACGGUCGCAAGGCUAAAACUUAAAGGAAUUGGCGGGGGAGCACCACAGGGGUGAGCCUGCGUUCAAUUGGAUCACGCCGGU
rnacentral:rRNA from 1 species